rnacentral:tRNA from 1 species
GAGUAAGUUAGCUCAGUGGCAGAGCGUCCGGCUCUUUAUCCGGAUGGACACAGGUUCGAGCCCUGUACUUACUCU